AAUGAUGGCCUGUACCCGAAACCGACACAGGUGGGGUGGUAGAGAAUACCGAGGGGCGCGAGAUAACUCUCCCUAAGGAACUCGGCAAAAUGGCCCCGUAACUUCGGGAGAAGGGGUGCCACCGCAAGGUGGUCGCAGUGAAGAGGCCCAGGCGACUGUUUACCAAAAACACAGGUCUCCGCUAAGUCGCAAGACGAUGUAUGGGGGCUGACGCCUGCCCAGUGCCGGAAGGUUAAGGAAGCUGGUCAGCGCAAGCGAAGCUAGCGACUGAAGCCCCGGUGAACGGCGGCCGUAACAAUAACGGUCCUAAGGUAGCGAAAUUCCUUGUCGUAAGUUCCGACCCGCACGAAAGGCGUAACGAUCUGGGCGCUGUCUCGGAGAGAGGCUCGGCGAAAUAGAAUUGUCUGUGAAGAUGCGGACUACGUGCACCCGGACAGAAAGACCCUAUGAAGCUUUACUGUAGCUUGGUAUUGUGCUCGGGCUCGGAAUGCGCAGGAUAGGUGGGAAGCUAUGAACCAUUGCUUGUGGGUGAUGGUGAGCCACUGGUGAGAUACCACUCUUUCCGAGCUAGAGUUCUAACAGCCACCCGUUAUCCGGGGGCUGGACAGUAUCAGGUGGGCAGUUUGACUGGGGCGGUCGCCUCCUAAAAGGUAACGGAGGCGCGCAAAGGUUUGCUCAGGCUGGUUGGAAAUCAGCCGACGAGUGUAAAAGCAGAAGCAAGCUUGACUGUGAGACCUACAAGUCGAACAGGGAGGAAACUCGGCUUUAGUGAUCCGACGGUUCUGCGUGGAAGGGCCGUCGUUCAACGGAUAAAAGUUACUCUAAGGAUAACAGGCUGAUCUCCCCCAAGAGUUCACAUCGACGGGGAGGUUUGCACCUCGAUGUCGGCUCAUCGCAACCUGGGGCUGAAGUCGGUCCCAAGGGUUGGGCUGUUCGCCCAUUAAAGCGGUACGCGAGCUGGGUUCAGAACGUCGUGAGACAGUUCGGUCCAUAUCCGGUGCAUGCGCAGGAAUAUUGAGAGGAUUUCUCCCUAGUACGAGAGGACCGGGAGGAACGCACCUCUGGUGUACCAGUUAUCGUGCCAACGGUAAACGCUGGGUAGCCAUGUGCGGAGGGGAUAACCGCUGAAAGCAUCUAAGUGGGAAGCCCACCUCAAGAUGAGUAUUCCCAUGGGGUAACCCAGUAAGGUCACGGGAAGAACACCCGUUGAUAGGCUCUACGUGGAAGCGCAGUAAUGUGUGAAGCGGAGGAGUACUAAUAGACCGAGGGCUUGACC
rnacentral:rRNA from 1 species